rnacentral:rRNA from 1 species
CAGUAGUCAUAUGCUUGUCUCAAAGACUAAGCCAUGCACAUGUAAGAUCGGCAUAGGCUUUACUGCUUCGGCAGUUUGCUCAUUGUUAAUCUGUGGACAGCUCAUUAUAACAGUUAUACACUUAGCCACUGGUACGUUUGGUGCAAGCCAAUUUACAAGGAUAACUUUGUCAAAUGCAGCGAUAAUACUUGAGUGACGAGUCAGUGCAAGCUGACUGGCAUUAGCGUAAAUGUCUCACGAUUGUGAGGAAACCGCGCUACUGUAACUCUUGGUUUACUAAUAGGCUUGCCUGUUAGUGGCCGGAGCGUCGACCAUUAGGAGUGCGCAAGCACACAAAGUUUGUCAAACAGUGUUUUAAUAAGGCUCUGUAGGGUAGCUUUUACUAGUGGCCAGGAAGAGGUGUUUCUUAUCUAUCAGCUGAAGUUGUUUCAGUAAGGGUAAAACACGGCGAUUACGGAUACGGGGGAUCAGUGUCUGAUUCCGGAGAGGGAGCCUGAGAAAUGGCUACUACAUCUAAG